rnacentral:rRNA from 1 species
GAUGAACGCUGGCGGCGUGCCUAAUACAUGCAAGUCGAGCGGACGGACGAGAAGCUUGCUUCUCUGAUGUUAGCGGCGGACGGGUGAGUAACACGUGGAUAACCUACCUAUAAGGCUGGGAUAACUUCGGGAAACCGUAGCUAAUACCGGAUAAUAUUUUGAACCGCAUGGUUCAAAAGUGAAAGACGGUCUUGCUGUCACUUAUAGAUGGAUCCGCGCUGCAUUAGCUAGUUGGUAAGGUAACAGCUUACCAAGGCAACGAUGCAUAGCCGACCUGAGAGGGUGAUCGGCCACACUGGAACUGAGACACGGUCCAGACUCCUACGGGAGGCAGCAGUAGGGAAUCUUCCGCAAUGGGCGAAAGCCUGACGGAGCAACGCCGCGUGAGUGAUGAAGGUCUUCGGAUCGUAAAACUCUGUUAUUAGGGAAGAACAUAUGUGUAAGUAACUGUGCACAUCUUGACGGUACCUAAUCAGAAAGCCACGGCUAACUACGUG